rnacentral:rRNA from 1 species
AUGAUCCAAAUGAAAGAAAUGAGAUGGAUGUACAAGGAGUUGAACAGGUCUUCUACUAAAUUUAGUUUUUUUUUCUUGGAUGUGGAGUUUCUACACCCAGGAGCAAACAGUAAAAUAAAAAAACAUUCAAAAAAUUCUGAAUUUUUUUGUUGCAUACUUUUACAAAUGUUUGUUUUGCAUGCAAAAUUUCAUCGCAAAAUCACAUUGGUGAAAGGCGUGGUAAAAAAACAAAAUCGGUGCUCUGAAAAUGUUAAUUACAAAAGCAUUUGGAGCACUGAUUUUGUUUUUUUCUUUUGGCACGACUUCCACCAAUAUGAUUUCGUGAUGGAAUUUUGCAUGCACAUCAAACAUUUGUGA